rnacentral:rRNA from 1 species
AGUGAACGCUGGCGGUAGGCCUAACACACGCAAGUCGAACGGCAGCACAGGAGAGCUUGCUCUCUGGGUGGCGAGUGGCGGACGGGUGAGGAAUACAUCGGAAUCUACUUUUUCGUGGGGGAUAACGUAGGGAAACUUACGCUAAUACCGCAUACGACCUACGGGUGAAAGCAGGGGAUCUUCGGACCUUGCGCGAUUGAAUGAGCCGAUGUCGGAUUAGCUAUUUGGCGGGGUAAAGGCCCACCAAGGCGACGAUCCGUAGCUGGUCUGAGAGGAUGAACAGCCACACUGGACCUGAGACACGGUCCAGACUCCUACGGGAGGCAGAAGUGGGGAAUAUUGGACAAUGGGCGCAAGCCUGAUCCAGCCAUACCGCGUGGGUGAAGAAGGCCUUCGGGUUGUAAAGCCCUUUUGUUGGGAAAGAAAUCCAGCUGGUUAAUACCCGGUUGGGAUGACGGUACCCAAAGAAUAAGCACCGGCUAACUUCGUGCCAGCAGCCGCCGUAA